rnacentral:rRNA from 1 species
UACGGAGGGUGCGAGCGUUGUCCGGAAUCACUGGGCGUAAAGGGCGCGUAGGUGGCGCGGGCAGUCAACGGUGAAAGUUCGGGGCUCAACCCUGAAUCGGCCGUCGAUACUCCCGGGCUUGAGCACUGUAGAGGCUAGUGGAAUUUCCGGUGUAGCGGUGAAAUGCGUAGAUAUCGGAAGGAACACCUGUGGCGAAAGCGGCUCACUGGACCACAACUGACGCUGAUGCACGAAAGCUAGGGGAGCAAACAGG